rnacentral:rRNA from 1 species
GAUGAACGCUGGCGGCAUGCCUAACACAUGCAAGUCGAGCGAUUUUCUUCGGAAGAGAGCGGCGGACGGGUGAGUAACGCGUGGGUAACCUGCCUCAUACACAUGGAUAACAUACCGAAAGGUAUGCUAAUACAAGAUGAUAUAAGAGAUUCGCAUGGAUUUCUUAUCAAAGCUUUUGCGGUAUGAGAUGGACCCGCGUCUGAUUAGCUAGUUGGUAAGGUAACGGCUUACCAAGGCGACGAUCAGUAGCCGACCUGAGAGGGUGAUCGGCCACAUUGGAACUGAGACACGGUCCAAACUCCUACGGGAGGCAGCAGUGGGGAAUAUUGCACAAUGGGCGAAAGCCUGAUGCAGCAACGCCGCGUGAGCGAUGAAGGCCUUCGGGUCGUAAAGCUCUGUCCUCAAGGAAGAUAAUGGCGGUACUUGAGGAGGAAGCCCCGGCUAACUACGUGCCAGCCGCCGCCGUAA